UACGUAGGGUGCGAGCGUUAAUCGGAAUUACUGGGCGUAAAGCGUGCGUAGGCGGUCCCGCAAGUCCGCUGUGAAAGCCCCGAGCUUAACUUGGGAACUGCAGUGGAAAUUAUGGGACUUGAAUCCGGCAGAGGGGGGUGGAAUGCCACGUGUAGCAGUGAAAUGCGUAGAGAUGUGGCGGAACACCGAUGGCGAAGGCAGCCCCCUGGGCUGAGAUUGACGCUCAGGCACGAAAGCGUGGGGAGCAAACAGG
rnacentral:rRNA from 1 species